rnacentral:rRNA from 1 species
CCUACGGGAGGCAGCAGUGAGGAAUAUUGGUCAAUGGCCGGAAGGCUGAACCAGCCAUGCCGCGUGAAGGUCAGUGCCCUAUGGGCGUUAAACUUCUUUUGUGCGGGAGCAAUAAUGGUCACGUGUGGCCAGACGAGAGUACCGUACGAAUAAGCAUCGGCUAACUCCGUGCCAGCAGCCGCGGUAAUACGGGGGAUGCAAGCGUUAUCCGGAUUUAUUGGGGUUAAAGGGUGCGUAGGGUGUGAGGUAAGUCAGCGGUGAAAUGCCCCCGCUCAACGGGGUGAAGUGCCAUUGAUACUGCCUUGCUGGAAUGCGGAUGCCGUAGGAGGAAUGUGUGGUGUAGCGGUGAAAUGCAUAGAUAUCACACAGAACACCGAUUGCGAAGGCAUCUCACGAAUCCGCGAUUGACGCUGAUGCACGAAAGCGUGGGUAUCAAACAGGAUUAGAUACCCCAGUAGUC